rnacentral:rRNA from 1 species
GAUGAACGCUGGCGGCGUGCCUAAUACAUGCAAGUCGAGCGAACAGAUGAGGAGCUUGCUCCUCUGACGUUAGCGGCGGACGGGUGAGUAACACGUGGAUAACCUACCUAUAAGACUGGGAUAACUUCGUGAAACCGGAGCUAAUACCGGAUAAUAUAUUGAACCGCAUGGUUCAAUAGUGAAAGACGGUUUUGCUGUCACUUAUAGAUGGAUCCGCGCCGCAUUAGCUAGUUGGUAAGGUAACGGCUUACCAAGGCAACGAUGCGUAGCCGACCUGAGAGGGUGAUCGGCCACACUGGAACUGAGACACGGUCCAGACUCCUACGGGAGGAAGCAGUAGGGAAUCUUACGCAAUGGGCGAAAGCCUGACGGAGCAACGCCGCGUGAGUGAUGAAGGUCUUCGGAUCGUAAAACUCUGUUAUUAGGGAAGAACAAAUGCGUAAGUAACUAUGCACGUCUUGACGGUACCUAAUCAGAAAGCCACGGCUAACUACGUG